GACAGAGGGUGCAAACGUUGUUCGGAAUUACUGGCGUAAAGCGCGUGUAGGCUGUUCGGAAAGUCGGAUGUGAAAGCCCUUGGCUCAACUGAGGAAGUGCACCCGAAACUGAGUAGCUGGAGUACGAAAGAGGGUCGCGGAAUUCCCGGUGUAGAGGUGAAAUGCGCAGAUAUCAGGAGGAACACCGAUGGCGAAGGCAGGUCUCUGGGCCACUACUGACGCUGAGAAGCGAAAGCGUGGGGAGCGAACAGG
rnacentral:rRNA from 1 species